GCUGAGGAGUUAGGCACUACAGGACCCAAAGUGGAGAGUUUUCAGGAACUGAGCUACUCGCAGCCCGCCCCCUGAAAGACCAAGAGUGUCUCACAAACAGUCUUGGGAGAAUAUGGAUCAAGGGUUUCAAGAUGAUCUUCAAUUUUAAAAUCUAAAUGGAAAAUUUCAUACAUCAAUUCUAGUUACUUUUUGGAGAAACACAAACAAAUCAUAUUAUCUUUUCCAUUUGGUAGAAAAAGCUAAGAGAAGAUUGGGCACUUAUAUCUCCAGAAC
rnacentral:lncRNA from 1 species